rnacentral:rRNA from 1 species
GUGGGGAAUAUUGGACAAUGGGCGAAAGCCUGAUCCAGCCAUGCCGCGUGUGUGAAGAAGGUCUUCGGAUUGUAAAGCACUUUAAGUUGGGAGGAAGGGCAGUAAGUUAAUACCUUGCUGUUUUGACGUUACCAACAGAAUAAGCACCGGCUAACUUCGUGCCAGCAGCCGCGGUAAUACGAAGGGUGCAAGCGUUAAUCGGAAUUACUGGGCGUAAAGCGCGCGUAGGUGGUUCAGCAAGUUGGAGGUGAAAUCCCCGGGCUCAACCUGGGAACUGCCUCCAAAACUGCAUGACUAGAGUACGGUAGAGGGUAGUGGAAUUUCCUGUGUAGCGGUGAAAUGCGUAGAUAUAGGAAGGAACACCAGUGGCGAAGGCGACUACCUGGACUGAUACUGACACUGAGGUGCGAAAGCGUGGGGAGCAAACAGGAUUAGAUACCCCUGUAGUCC